rnacentral:ncRNA from 1 species
UCAUGUAGAGGCGCGAUACUUAUGAGUAGAAUUUAGGAUUCUUACAAGAGAAGUUGACUACUUUCAAAAGGAAGCAUCGCCGAAGGGUAAUGUGCUUGUACACUUUAUUCCUGGGUGUAUAGUGAAUAGCUAUACAACUGUCACCUUUUGCUAUACAAUAGGUGGUGUGCUACUGUG